AAAAAAAAACUUUCUAUGAGUGGGAUGCUGUGCUGUUUGUUUAAAGGAAGGUUGUCUUUACCUGCAAAUGGAUUCUGAUGUACACUGUCCUUUUGUUUUAUUAGUUUUUUAUGGGCACAAGCAGAUUUCCAAUAAUUUAGGGAUCAUGUUUUCUAUUUCAUCAAUAUUUCUGCUAAUUUUUUGUAGAAAUUUAGGAAUGAUGUUUACUUCCUUUGGCUAUGGUGUUUUUGCAUGGAAAAUCUAACAAAGCUGCACGUACAAGUAAUAUUAGAUGUAUAUGCUGUAUAAAUUAAAGAUAUAACAGUAGGUACAAAUUUAGAAACCACAUAUUGGGUUUCAAUAUCUCAUGAUGAUGCAUAUUCUUUCUCUACUAGAUGUGACAGGCCUAAACAUAUCUUUCUAACAGAUAUAUUUUUUUCCAUACAUUGUGAAAAUACAAUGUUGACUGAAUUUAGUGUGAAAUCCAGUAGAUAAGAAUGUGAGUUAUUUCCAUACUUAAUUUCUUGUGGGUUUUCUAAAUCCAGUAGCUCUAUUCAUGUAUUGUUGGGAGGAAGGCAGAUGGGAAGUAUAGAGAAAGGGUUGUUUCUCAUAUUCUUCUCUUACCUAUGUAUUUGUUCAACUUCAUCCCCUCUUCAGAAUGGUCUUACUUUCUCCAGGUUGGUUGAGAACCUACAAAGCCCAGCUGGCUAACCUCCUCUCAAUCUUCUCAUUCACUCCUUCCCAAAUUGAAACAGAUUUAUGUGAGGCAUUCCGUGUCUUUUGACCCAAUUUUUGUCUUAAAGAUAUUAUUACAACAAGAGAACAAAACAAUCUGUUUGGGAAAAGCCGG